rnacentral:rRNA from 1 species
GAUGAACGCUGGCGGCGUGCCUAAUACAUGCAAGUCGAGCGAACAGACGAGGAGCUUGCUCCUCUGACGUUAGCGGCGGACGGGUGAGUAACACGUGGAUAACCUACCUAUAAGACUGGGAUAACUUCGGGAAACCGGAGCUAAUACCGGAUAAUAUAUUGAACCGCAUGGUUCAUUAGUGAAAGAGGGUUUUGCUGUCACUUAUAGAUGGAUCCGCGCCGCAUUAGCUAGUUGGUAAGGUAACGGCUUACCAAGGCAACGAUGCGUAGCCGACCUGAGAGGGUGAUCGGCCACACUGGAACUGAGACACGGUCCAGACUCCUACGGGAGGCAGCAGUAGGGAAUCUUCCGCAAUGGGCGAAAGCCUGACGGAGCAACGCCGCGUGAGUGAUGAAGGUCUUCGGAUCGUAAAACUCUGUUAUUAGGGAAGAACAAAUGUGUAAGUAACUAUGCACGUCUUGACGGUACCUAAUCAGAAAGCCACGGCUAACUACGUG